GCGCCCCCUGCUGCCCACCAGGGGGAACCCGCUGGACGCCGGAACAUGGCGCCGCUGCCCGCGAGCCUCGGGUCGCAGGCUUCCGACCGCGACCGAGGGGAGGCCAACGUGGUAACGCGGAUGUCGCAGUGGGCGGACAACCAUCUGCGUCUUGUCCAGAACAUCAGCACUGGAAUGGCCAUAGCUGGGAUAGUGUUACUAAUAAGGAGCGUUCGGCUGACGUCAAAAUUUACAACCUCCUCAGAUAUUCCAGUAGAAUUUAUAAGAAAGAAAGUUAAACUACGUGGCCGAUUACAGCGGAUAACUGAGUGUGGUCUAGAAAUUGAACAUGUACCUAUUACUUUACCUUUCAUAUCUUCAUGGAAACAAGAGCCGUGUGGAGUUUUGUUGGUUAAAUUGGCUGGAGUAGAACUCACUGAAGCCGGUAAGGUGUGGCUACAGAAAGAACUGAGACCUUCCCAGCUCCUGUGGUUCCAGCUCCUUGGAAAGGAGAAUUCAGAACUCUUUUGCUACCUCUUAGUGAACAAGGGUGGAUAUUUUAAUGUGAAUCUGAAUGAGGAGAUUUUGAGAAGAGGCUUGGGCAAAACCGUUCUUGUUAAAGGGCUAAAUUACGACUCAAAAACCCACUGGAAAAUUCACAGAAAGUUGCUUAAAGCUGAAUUGACAGCCUUAAAGAAAGGAGAAGGAAUCUGGAAGGAAGAGUCUGAAAAAGAAAGUUAUUUUAGAAAAUUGAAAGAUUCCUGGAGGGAGAGAUGGACAAAGGACAAUGAUUUAAAAACAGCCGGACCGGGUCUCAGCGCCACCAAAGAGGGUCAUUACGACAGGUUUCGCAGGGCUUACGGAAGCUGGAAGGACAACAUGGGCAACUACUCUUUAGUUCUGAAACUCAGAGAAUUCGUGAGCCGCUUACACUUUCGGAGGAAAGGAUGAACCUCCAUGAAGUCUGGAGUGGCUCUCCCUGAAGAGUGCCCUGGAGCUGUGAGAGCACUUUUCAUUUGACUCAAAAUGGGAAUUACCUCAGAUAAGAGGAUUGCCCUUAAGACAAAGAUGAGAAGGACAACCCAGAGGACAGAAAGGAAGGAUCUUUAGGACAUCACGGAGCCCCUGAACUCACCAAUUCUUGAACUACCCUGCCUUCCAACUCCUAAGUACCCAAGAGAGUAAACUGCUUUGACAGUAAGCUAUCAUCCAGCAUACUGAGGACCAGUGGCUGACCGAACCUAACCUGCUUCAGUUGCCAGAAACCAGGAACAGAUCACCGUGUCCAACUGUUUGCUGGCUUGUUGAGACAGCAGAUCAUGUAUCCCCGGCUGGCCUAGAACUUGGUAUAUUUCUUCGAAUGACUUUGGACUUCUGAGUUUCCUGUCUCCACUCCUGAAUAGAAGAUUACAGGCAUGCACCACCAGGCCCAAUAUUUUACUUCUUGCCUGUGAAAUAUUGACAACAGCAUCAACUUUAUUAUGAUUAAUGGUGAUCAAAGUAAAAGAGAAACACCCAAGAACACAAAAUGUACAUGUAUACAUGAUCCAGAACUGCCAGUUCUGGGCUACUAGAUGCAUAUUCCCAUAGGACACCCAGAUGAUCUUUUCCUUUUCUGUUAGAAAGCUAUCCAGUGGGGUUGGGGAUUUAGCUCAGUGGUAGAGCGCUUGCCUAGGAAGCUCAAGGCCCUGGGUUCGGUCCCCAGCUCUGAAAAAAAAAAAAGAACCAAAAAAAAAAAAAGCUAUCCAGUAUGUGUGUUUGUGUGCAUACACAUUAGAGAGAGAGGGAGGAAGAGAGGAAGAGAGAGAGAGAGAGAGAGAGAGAGAGAGAGAGAGAGAGAGAACAAGAACAUACUAUUAUAUGUGGAGGCUACAGGACAACCUGUGGGAGUCCAUUCUGUCCUUCUAUCAUGUGGAUUACAACUUAAAGCACAUAGAGAUACACAGGGAAUGAGAUGCUCCCAAGUGUGAGCAUGGACUCUUCAAGGGAGAAUGCCUUAGCAUUGACAUAUAUACUAUUCUGGUGACUAAUGGGUUAUAUCUCAAAGGUUGCUAAGAACACCCCACCCCAUAUUCUAUCCUUUUUAAAUAAAUGAGAUUAUAGGGUGGCCCCAGAGGUGCCUUAGAAUUGUAUCUCCAUAGGUAAAACUGGAAGCCAAUUGUGUUGCACAAGGCAAGUUUUUGUGAGGUUUUCAUAUGGGAAGGCACCAAGGCCUUAAACAGUUAAUUGCUUAUUGAAAUUCUUUCUUGUCAGCUGAUGAACAGGUUCAGCCAGACUCUGGGGCAAAGAGCAACUUUGUCUUCGACAAUUGAACCUGAGUCUGUCUAUCCUGCUUUAUCAAGACUGUCUUAAAACAAAAAGACAAAGGUCUGUCUGUGCCCUGAGCUGACCCUGAGCCACAACCCCUGAUGCUCAAAUACCGCUGGGAGAGAAAUGGUCUCCCAGAAGUGCUGACACACUGGAGAGCACAGGUGGAACCAACACUUCUGUUCUGAGACACCCACCUGGAAACCUCAGGAUCCAGGAGCCAAGGAGCAGUCUGGGACAGGAUCCUUCCAGUUAACAUCUGCACCUGGAGCUGAACCUGAGCCACAGCCCUCUGUGCCUGUGUCCUACUGGGAGAGAGCUCAACUUCCAGGAGUGCUGACACACCUGAGAGUGCAGAAGGGCCAAGCCACUGUCAAAGACAGCAAGACCAGCUAACACCAGAGAUAACCAGAUGGUGAGAGGAAAGUGCAAGAACAUAACCAACAGAAACCAAAGCCACUUGGCAUCUUCAGAACCCAGUUCUCCCACCACAGCAAGUCCAGGAUACCCGAACACAGCAGAAAAGCAAGAUUCUGAUUUAAAAUCACAUCUCAUGAUGAUGUUAGAGGACUUUAAGACAAACAUAAAUAACUCCCUUAAAGAAAUACAAGACAACACAGGUAAACAGGUAGAAAACCUUAAAGAGGAAACACAAAAAUCCCUUAAAGAAUUACAGGAAAAGAUAAUCAAACAGGUUAAGGAAUUGAACAAAACCAUCCAGGAUCUAAAAAUGCAAAUAGAAACAAUAAACAAAUUCAAAGGGGGACAAAACUGGAGAUAGAAAUGCUAGGAAAGAGAUCAGGAGUCAUAGAUGCAAGCAUCACCAACAAAAUAAAAGAGAUAGAAGAGAGAAUAUCAGGGGCAGAAGAUAGUAUGUUUAUUCUGGAGGAAAAAAAUGAACCUCGUUUUCCUAAUAAAGCCUCAGUUUUAUCCCAAGCACCUUCUCCCCCAAAUUCAUGAAUGAAAGUAUGAAAUGAACCUUUUUUUUCUUUUUUGGUUAGAAUCUCUUUUUCUUUUAUGUUUGUUGUUUUUGAGACAGGUCUCACUGCUGAGUAGCCAUAGCUGGCUUGGAAGUCACUAUGUAGACAAAACUGGCCUUGAACUCACAGAGAGCCACCUUACUCUGCCUCCAGAGUUCUAGGAUUAAAAGCACAUGCCACUGUAUCUGGGCUCUUUUUAUUUUUUAAUUCAUUUUUAACUCUCUACUAUCUCUAUCUCUCUCUCUCUCUCUCUCUCUCUCUCUCUCUCUCUCUCUCUGAAUGAAUCUGUGCACUUGAGUCUCAAAGGUACCUGUGGAGACCAGAAGAAAGUAUGGAUCCUCCAGUGCUUGAGUUAAAAUAGUUGUGAACCACUGGAUAUGGGUGCUGAGAACAAACUUGGUUCCUAAGACUCCAGCCCUCACUCUUAACUGCUGAGUCAUGUCAGUAGCCCCGAGGAACCUAUUUUUCUUAUGUAAGUCUCCUCUUUAAAUUCCAUGAUGCUAAACACUGAAGAUUGAAGAUUGGUUUUCCUUAAAUGGUCUGAAAGUUUUCUUUAAGUGGUCAUUUAAGGAAAACCAUGGUGAGUUUAAACUAUCAUUUACUUCACUUCUUCCCCAGCAUGUUUGAGGCCCUGGGUUUCUGCUUUCAAACCAGAAAAUAAGGCGGGGGGGGGGGGAACUAAUGUAAAUAAAUAAAACUGACACAUGGUUUCUUCUUUCUUUCUCUCUUUUUUAAACAGCACUUUCACCUUUACUAUGUUUGUGUGGGAAAAUCUGACCAUUUGCUUUUUUGGUUAAGGAAACAAAGCAAAAGAGGUGUUGGUUAAUAAAAGGCACACCCUCCUUGAAUUCCAAAUGUAAGGGAAAUAGAAAGGGUUUCCUUGUGUUACAUCAACUGCUUCCCAUAGCUUUUCAAAACUUUACAUUUCCAUUCUGUUUUAGUACUUUCUUCAUUGUCUUUCAACAUUUAUUUCAGUUUUUCAUUGCUAUCUGUAAUCAAGGUACCACAGAAUUGACACAGUGUAUUCCAUGACAGAAUAUGUAGUUACAAAGUUUCAACAUUUGUUAUUCUGAAUACUGUACCUCCUCUAGACAUCUUGUCUAGCCCCAAGAGCAGAGACUGCCUCUGUGGGAGGGCUUUCUGAAAACAAAAAGCCCAGAGGACCUUUCUGAGGUCCCUUGCAGAAAGGGUUCUGUUCUUCUCAGACACUUUUGUUUCCUGUAAAAUACUCCAGUCCUUCCAGGAGGAGGGGGAAAAGAAGAGGGGAAAGGAGAGUUCACUUUUUUAGCAUAUAUUUUUACUAGAAUCUUAUGAAAAGUAUAGCUGAAUUUAAGAAAAGUUGGAGUUCAAUUGAACUUACUUUCAGCAAAACCUACUAUUUUGUCUUUUUCCAGUAGUCAUAGGACACACUGUUUUACCAAGACAAGAAAAUGAAGCUAGAGGGUCAGGCCCCAGUCCAGGCACAAGUCUUUAAUUCCACUACUGUGGAGACAACAUGAUCCCUCUAAACUAGAGGCUCAUCACAUCUACAGAGGGAGUUGAGACCAUCCAUCCAGGGAUAGACGGGGAGAUUCUCUAAGACCUUGAGUUCAAUCUGUAGAACCACUGUGGAAACAGGGAAAAGACUCCUGAAAGUUGCUCUCUGACCUGCACAUGCCCCUGUGGUGUGCUGGUGACUCAUGAGUUAAUUAAUAACACUUCCUAUUCUUUUAGCAGACACAAAUUUGGUUUCUGCCACCCACAUCGAACAACUGCCAUGUUGGUGUGGAAAACUUCUGUUUUGUGUUUUUCCUUCCUUGUUCUUCAAAGGCAUUUUCACAAUUCACAAGAGUCAAAGAGUAUAAUGAAUCUCCUGUCUUUUCUUCAUAUUUAAAAUGUGAAAUGCAUAUUUGCAUAUGAAUAAUAAAAUAAUUUGGACAUUGCCAUAUAAAAA